GUCUGGGGAACCUGAGUGGUUAUGAAGAAACCUUCCUACGUCAACGUGGUGGGAGUGACUGCUGGCGUAUCAGCCUUGGAGGUAUACACCCCAAAAGAAAUCUACGUGGCAAAUGGGACACAAGGGAAGCUGCCGUGCAAGUUCAAGUCUGCGAACACCACCAGCAGGUUGACCACAAUCUCCUGGAGCUUCCAGCCAGAGGGAUCCCACACCACCGUGUCGUUUUUCCACUACUCCCAAGGGCAAGUGUACAUCGGGGACUACCCGCCCUUCAAGGACAGAAUCACCUGGGCUGGGGACCUCGACAAGAAAGACGCAUCGAUCAACAUAGAAAAUAUACAGUUCAUCCAUAACGGCACCUACAUCUGUGAUGUCAAAAACCCUCCCGACAUCGUUGUCUACCCGGGAUACAUUCGCCUCUAUGUUGUAGAGAAAGAGGUGUUGCCCAUGUUUCCGGUGUGGGUGGUGGUGGGUAUCGUGACCGCUGUGGUUGUGGGUCUCACCCUCCUCAUCAGCAUGAUUCUGGCUGUCCUCUACAGAAGGAGAAGCUCGAAGCGGGAUUACACCGGCUGGAAAGCUAACCCACAUAAGCUAAGUAGGACUCACGUGGUAAGAGAGUGGAGGCCGAUUCCUAACACGAGCUGGGCCCCAGGUGCACGGGCUAACCACAGCCACCCAGAGGGACUGCUCUGAGGCUGCAUGCCCAACUGCUGCCUGGUGGAUGCUGGGAACCUUUCUCUCUCUCUCUCUCUCUCUCUCGGCUCUGAGGUUCUAGUUUUUAGGAGUGCUGUGUUUUAAUGAGCUUGAGUGUUCAAAUUCAGAUUUUACUUGCUUGGAAUGCCUCUGUUCUGCUGACCUGUAUCUACCCUCUUGCAUGGUGAGUGUUUUUUGAUGACAUAUAUCUGGAGUGUUGGUUUUCAACAUGAGACUAAUCCAAAGUGGUGACAUGCCGGACUCUGUAGUUCUUGCUCUUGGGUUACUAAAGGGGCGGAGCGCGUGCCUUCGAAUCCUGCAUGGCAUCGUGAAUGCUGCUGUUCUUCUUACUUAGGUUCCCCUCCCCUGCCUUUCCACCUCGUGUGCUGGGAUAGAUCCUGCUUAUCCUCCACUUGAUCAGAAAAGCUGACCCUGGGACUGUCACAGGGCUGGCUCUCCUACUCCCACUAGACACAUGCUGCAGCACCUCAGAGAGUGUGUCACCGGUUAAGCAGGCUCCGCGGAAGUUCCCCUCCGACACAGAGGGGCUAGUAAAGAGCC